rnacentral:lncRNA from 1 species
UUAACAUAACAUUUUAGAAAAAAGUUCAAAUAACACCCUUAUGAUUUUAUACUUUUUUAUUUUAGUACUCUGUAGUUUAAAGUAUAUCAAUUUAGUAUUUUAUAACUUUAUUUUUUUCUCUUUAUUAUCUCCUCUACUAUUUUUUUUUAAAUCAGUGACAAAGUUAAAACUAAAAGGUAUUAAAGUGAAUAUUCAGUAAAUCUAUGUGGGGUAUCGNAAAUAAUAAAAAUAUAUAUUAUAUAUAAUUAUUUAUUUAUAUAUAAAAAUAUAAAUUAAAUAAAUUAUAUAAAUAUAAAAUAUGUAUUCGAGCUAUUAUCGAGCCGAACACCAGCGAGCUGACCCCAGCUCGUGUUCGGCUCAUUUAUUAAACGAGCUGAAAAAUCCAUCUCGUGUUCGGCUC